rnacentral:rRNA from 1 species
GAGUUUGAUCAUGGCUCAGGAUGAACGCUGGCGGCGUGCCUAACACAUGCAAGUCGAACGAAGCAUAUAGAAGGAAGUUUUCGGAUGGAAUUUUAUAUGACUUAGUGGCGGACGGGUGAGUAACGCGUGGAUAAUCUGCCUUACACAGCGGGAUAACAAGUGGAAACAGUUGCUAAUACCGCAUAAGCACACAGUAUCGCAUGAUACAGGGUGAAAAGAUUUAUCGGUGUAAGAUGAGUCCGCGUCCCGUUAGCUAGUUGGUGAGGUAAAAGCUUACCAAGGCGACGAUGGGUAGCCGGCCUGAGAGGGUGACCGGCCACAUUGGGACUGAGACACGGCCCAGACUCCUACGGGAGGCAGCAGUGGGGGAUAUUGCACAAUGGGCGAAAGCCUGAUGCAGCGACGCCGCGUGAAGGAUGAAGUAUUUCGGUA